rnacentral:rRNA from 1 species
CCUGGCUCAGGAUGAACGCCGGCGGCGUGCCUAACACAUUCAAGUCGAACGAACUGUAGAAAUACAGUGAGUGGCGGACGGGUGAGUAACGCGUAAGCAAUCUGCCUUUGUGUGUGGAAUAACAACCGGAAACAGUUGCUAAUACCGCAUAACGCAGAGAGAUCGCAUGGUCUUUCUGCCAAAGAUUUAUCGCACAAAGAUGGGCUUGCGUCCGAUUAGAUAGUUGGCGGGGUAACGGCCCACCAAGUCAACGAUCGGUAGCCGGACUGAGAGGUUGAACGGCCACAUUGGAACUGAGAUACGGUCCAGACUCCUACGGGAGGCAGCAGUGGGGAAUAUUGGGCAAUGGACGAAAGUCUGAACCCCCAGCGACGCCGCGUGAGGGAAGAAGGUCUUCGGAUUGUAAACCUUAGUCAACAGGGACGAAGCAAGUGACGGUACCUGUGGAGGAAGCCACGGCUAACUACGUGCCAGCCGCAGC